rnacentral:rRNA from 1 species
UACGUAGGGUGCAAGCGUUAAUCGGAAUUACUGGGCGUAAAGCGUGCGCAGGCGGUUUUGUAAGCCAGAUGUGAAAUCCCCGGGCUUAACCUGGGAAUGGCAUUUGGGACUGCAAGGCUCGAGUGCGGCAGAGGAGACUGGAAUUCCUGGUGUAGCGGUGGAAUGCGCAGAUAUCAGGAGGAACACCGAUGGCGAAGGCGGGUCUCUGGGCCGAUACUGACGCUGAGGAGCGAAAGCGUGGGGAGCGAACAGG